GUCUAUGGCCAUGCCACCCUGAACAAGCCCGAUGUCUGAUCUCGGAAGCUAAGCAGGGUCAGGCCUGGUUAGUACCUGAAUGGGAGACCCCCUAGGAAGACCAGUCGCUGUAGGCA
rnacentral:rRNA from 1 species